rnacentral:tRNA from 1 species
UUAGCUCAGUUGGUAGAGCAGGAGACUUUUAAUCUCUUGGUCGUAGGUUCUUAUCUGUA